UGCCCGACUCCCCCGCCCCAAGGUGCUCGGCCUCAAGCAGGACCAUCCCACCGAGCCGCCGACCAACGCUUGCAACCCACAACCCGGACCCCCGCCAACCCAGAGAACCAACCCCGGGCCGGACCCUGACCCCGGCGACCCCCAGUUCCCCAGCCCCUUAGCCCCCGAGCCCCGGCCUGGGGGCGUGGCCCGUCCCAGGUCACCCAGGCAACUUGGAGGUCGGGAGCCGCGCAGCGCGCAUGCUCAGCCUGCGGCGCCUCGAGGGCUCGGGGCAGGGCAGAGGGGCGGGGCCGUUGCUGGGCUCGGGCGGAGGGGCCCGGGCUCUUAGCACAGGGGUCUGUCUGUACACUGAAAGAGGAGUGGGACACUGGUAGGGGGCAGGCGCUGGCUGGGAAGGGGACGGAGGCCCCAGGGAAAAAGAACUAGUCCCUGAUGGGCAGCCGGCGCUUGCUUCUGCUCUGAGCCUGCAGUGGGCCCAAUGGUUGGACUCCAGACCAAGCAGGAGAAGUGAAGACCGAGCUUCCAGAGCAGGUUCCAUGAACCAAGGGAGGACUGUCAAGUGUCCCGCGCAGGAUCUGUGGUCCAGAGGAGCGGAGGCAGGGCCGACCCUGCCAUGCCGUGGUGGCAGUAACCAGUCAGUCUUGUGUCAUUUCCUUGCUUCUCCAGCUGUGGACAAGGCAGUCAGCUAUACUGCACUGGGAAGACCAGGCAGAGCCAUCUUGACUGCUGUGGCUGCCUUUGAGGGGGAGGGGGGGGCUCCAGGUUGCCCUGAGGCAUUUCCAGGAUGGUCAUGAGCAGGCCAGAGUCACCAACACUUAAGUCCCACACACUUCGAAGGACAAUCUACUCUUACUUCCUUUUGCAGAAAAGCCAAGCAACAAGAUGCAAAAAGAUGACAAUUCAUCCAAAAGGAGCAAUGCAAAUUAACAUUCCUUCUAUCAGGAGGGUGAAUAUUUACAGACACUGGUGCAGCUUUGGGAGGCCUG
rnacentral:lncRNA from 1 species